CAGUAUUAAAGCUCUUUUAGAAUUUGUUUAGCAGGUUUUCUAGUUGUUACUGGAAAGCGCCCUC